GCGAGCGGAUCCCCUUCGGGGGUGAAGCUCGUGGAACGAGCGGCGGACGGGUGAGUAACACGUGGGCAACCUGCCUGUAAGACCGGAAUAACCCCGGGAAACCGGGGCUAAUGCCGGGUAAUACUCUUCUUCGCAUGAAGAAGAGUUGAAAGAUGGCUUCUUGCUAUCACUUACAGAUGGGCCCGCGGCGCAUUAGCUAGUUGGUGAGGUAACGGCUCACCAAGGCGACGAUGCGUAGCCGACCUGAGAGGGUGAUCGGCCACACUGGGACUGAGACACGGCCCAGACUCCUACGGGAGGCAGCAGUAGGGAAUCUUCCGCAAUGGACGAAAGUCUGACGGAGCAACGCCGCGUGAACGAUGAAGGUCUUCGGAUCGUAAAGUUCUGUUGUUAGGGAAGAACAAGUACCGUGCGAAUAGAGCGGUACCUUGACGGUACCUAACGAGGAAGCCCCGGCUAACUACGUGCCAGCAGCCGCGGUAAUACGUAGGGGGCAAGCGUUGUCCGGAAUUAUUGGGCGUAAAGCGCGCGCAGGCGGUUCCUUAA
rnacentral:rRNA from 1 species